rnacentral:rRNA from 1 species
UACGUAGGGGGCCAAGCGUUGUUCGGAAUUACUGGGUGUAAAGGGUUCGUAGGCGGUGUGGCAAGUCGGGAGUGAAAUCUCUGGGCUCAACUCAGAGACUGCUUCCGAAACUGCUGUGCUGGAGUGUGGGAGAGGCGCGUGGAAUUGCAGGUGUAGCGGUGAAAUGCGUAGAUAUCUGCAGGAACACCCGUGGCGAAAGCGGCGCGCUGGACCACUACUGACGCUGAGGAACGAAAGCUAGGGGAGCAAACAGG